GCUGUUCCUGCACGUCCUGGAGUCAAGCGGACAUCUUGGCUUCGCACCACCAGCAAGACUGAAGGAAGAUCCUUGGAAGAGGCUUGUGGGUGCUGCCAUGAUGCCCCAACUCUUGGCUCUGCUCUGCACUGGGCUGUGUGCUGGCCAAGGAAGCAGGACAACUGAUGAGUCCCUUCCCAAGCCCUCCCUCAGGGCCUGGCCCAGCUCGGUGGUGUCUCGCAAGAGUAAUGUGACGCUGCAAUGCUGGACUUCUACCAAGAAUGUCAACUUUGUUCUCAGAAAGGGAAAAGUUCAUUUGCAGUCUGUGCAAUCACGGGCUUCCACAGAGGGCCUGGCUGAAUUUCACCUCACUGGCCUAAACAGCGACAAUGCUGGAGAGUACGCCUGUGAGUACUACAGACGAGGGAGCCCGUACAUACGUUCACAGCCCAGUGACGUCCUCCUACUGCUGGUGACAGGAGAUUUACCAAAACCUUCCCUCCAAGCCCACCAAAGGGGUGAGGUGACCGCAGGAGAAAACGUGACCCUGCAAUGUCAGGGGCCAGCCAGUGUUUACGAGACUGUAAUGUUCGCUCUACUGAAGGCGGGAGCGGCAGGGCCCAUACAGGUCCAGAGUCCUGCAGGGAAGGAGACGGACUUCUCCCUCCGGACUGUGACAGUCAGUGAUGCCGGGAAUUACAGCUGUGUGUACUUCCAGACAGGGAUUCCUUUCUGGGCUUCGCACCCUAGCGAUCAUCUUGAGAUCCGGGUGACAGGUAAAACUGAAAGGAAGUCUCCCAAGAUGGCAGAAACAGAGCUAGGGACCACUGGGAUCACCCUCAUUGUCAUCUUCACCUUUCUCUUCCUCCUUGGAACCUUCUUCAUCUGGAAAUACACCCGAUGUGGUGAGUUCAGGAAAACAACAGCUAAAUAUUUGGGAGGAAAUGGGAGAAAUAGAAUGGGAAAGUAACACCACAGGGUUGAUCCUGUCUCUCUUUUAUCCGCAGGGGCAGCUCUGGACAAGAUGACCAAACGGUAGAGCUACUCAGAGGAUCCCAUACGCCCAUACUUAACUCUUCCUCCAUUGCUGCCUUGACUACUCAAGACCUUCUUUCUUACCUCAACAUUUUAUGUGGCCCCAAGCAGCCCCAGCAACCAUCCUGUGUCUCUCCAUGUCCUCCCUUCUUACAACCACCCUCCACUUCUCACUCAGUGUUCUUUCCUUGGAUCCUUUCCUCAUGGACCACACUGCCCCCAACCACUUCCCCUCCUCACCUCUCAAGACUUUGCUGAGCACCCAAAUGACUCAGGGACCCCAGGGAGGGGUGUAUGAGCGUCGAGUCCCACUCUAAGGAACCUGAAGAAGUGGGGACAAGUAUUCAGCCUGAGAAAGGAAGUGGUGGUGGGUACAUGUGUGUGUGUAUUUCUAUUUGUAUGGUGUGUGCACACACGUGUGUGCGUGCAGACUUAACCCCGGAGCCUAGGGGUGAAGCAACAGCAGAAUUUUUCCUUUCCAGAUCCACCCGCAGCUAUGAUGAGCUGCUCUCCUGCCUGGG